rnacentral:lncRNA from 1 species
CCAGACACUGAGUCCUCACAUGCAGAAUCACACCACAUGCUGCAUUUGUAUAUACUGUAAAUACUGUAUAUAGUUCUAGAGCAAGUUUACAAGUGGUUUUCUGAGCGGUUGUUCUCAUGUCGCUGGUCGGUCGCUGGACUCCUCUGGGUGUUUCGAUGCGUUUAGUGAUUCGCGGUGUCUGGUAGGUUAGGUUAGGGUCCCUCACACGGUUUGCAGCUUGACGUGCUGUGAGGGCUUGUGUGCAUCAGUGAUGCUGAGAGCUUCACCACUGGUACUUCACAGAUACCGGCAGGGUCACCCAUAGUGGACAGGUCUCAGCUGAGAUGCCCGACUAAGACAAACCGGCAGAUUCUGGACCACAGAAGAUCAUACACUGAAGACAAUGCCAACAACAUCAGAAUUAAGAAGACACAGGUGGAAGUGGAACAAUCGACUGUACAAGACAAAAUAAAAUAAA